GACGAACGCUGGCGGCGUGCUUAACACAUGCAAGUCGAACGGAGUGGCGAACGGGUAAGUAAUACGAGGGUGAUCUGCCGUGCACUUCGGGAUAAGCUUGGGAAACUGGGUCUAAUACCGGAUAGUGCAAGAUGAGCUCGCGGCCUAUCAGCUUGUUGGUGGGGUAAUGGCCUACGAAGGCGUCGUCGGGUAGCCGGCCGGAGAGGGUGUACGGCCACAAUGGGACUGCGAUACGGCGCAGACGCCUACGGGGGGCAGCAGUGGGGAAGAGUGAACAACGGGCGGAAGCCUGAUGCGGCGACGCCGGGUGGGGGAUGAAGUCCUUCGGGUUGUAAACUCCUGUCGACAGGGACGCGGUACCUGUAUAAGAAGCACCGGCUAACUACGUGCCAGCAGCCGCGGUAAUAC
rnacentral:rRNA from 1 species